GGGCAGCGGAGGUGAGUGCUUGCACUUGCCAGACGGCGACCGGCGCACGGGUGAGUAACACGUAUGCGACCUGCCCGUAGCAGGGGGAUAAGCGGAAGAAAUUCCGUCUAAUACCGCGUAAUAUCUUUCGGGGGCAUUCCUGAGGGAUUAAAGGAAGUGAUUCCGGCUACGGAUGGGCAUGCGGCGCAUUAGCUAGUCGGCGGGGUAACGGCCCACCGAGGCGACGAUGCGUAGGGGUUCUGAGAGGAAGGUCCCCCACACUGGUACUGAGACACGGACCAGACUCCUACGGGAGGCAGCAGUGAGGAAUAUUGGUCAAUGGGCGAGAGCCUGAACCAGCCAAGUCGCGUGAGGGAAGACGGUCCUAUGGAUUGUAAACCUCUUUUGUCGGGGAGCAAAAAGGCCUCGUGAGGCCACAAGCGAGAGUACCCGAAGAAAAAGCAUCGGCUAACUCCGUGCCAGCAGCCGCGGUAAUACGGAGGAUGCGAGCGUUAUCCGGAUUUAUUGGGUUUAAAGGGUGCGUAGGCGGACUGGAAAGUCAGCGGUAAAAUCGAGAGGCUCAACCUCUUUCCGCCGUUGAAACUGUCGGUCUUGAGUGGGCGAGAAGUAUGCGGAAUGCGUGGUGUAGCGGUGAAAUGCAUAGAUAUUUGAGGGAACUCCGAUUGCGAAGGCAGCAUACCGGCGCCCGACUGACGCUGAGGCACGAAAGCGUGGGUAUCGAACAGGAUUAGAUACCCUGGUAGUCCACGCAGUAAACGAUGAAUACUAAUUGUCCGGUCAGAAUGAUGACUGGGUGAUACAGCGAAAGCGUUAAGUAUUCCACCUGGGGAGUACGCCGGCAACGGUGAAACUCAAAGGAAUUGACGGGGGCCCGCACAAGCGGAGGAACAUGUGGUUUAAUUCGAUGAUACGCGAGGAACCUUACCCGGGCUCAAACGUAGAGUGACAGACGGUGAAAGCCGUUCUCCCUUCGGGGCAGUCUACGAGGUGCUGCAUGGUUGUCGUCAGCUCGUGCCGUGAGGUGUCGGCUUAAGUGCCAUAACGAGCGCAACCCCCAUCUACAGUUGCUAACAGGUAAAGCUGAGGACUCUGUGGAGACUGCCGGCGCAAGCUGUGAGGAAGGCGGGGAUGACGUCAAAUCAGCACGGCCCUUACGUCCGGGGCGACACACGUGUUACAAUGGCAGGUACAGCGGGAAGCCAUAUGGCGACAUAGAGCGGAACCCGAAAACCUGUCUCAGUUCGGAUUGGAGUCUGCAACUCGACUCCAUGAAGCUGGAUUCGCUAGUAAUCGCGCAUCA
rnacentral:rRNA from 1 species